rnacentral:rRNA from 1 species
GACGAACGCUGGCGGCGUGCUUAACACAUGCAGGUCGAACGGAAAGGCCCCUUUGGGGGUACUCGAGUGGCGAACGGGUGAGUAACACGUGAGUAACCUGCCCUUGACUUCGGGAUAACUUCAGGAAACUGGGGCUAAUACCGGAUAGGAAUCCUUGCUGCAUGGUGGGGGUUGGAAAGCUUCGGCGGUUUUGGAUGGACUCGCGGCUUAUCAGCUUGUUGGUGGGGUAGUGGCUUACCAAGGCUUUGACGGGUAGCCGGCCUGAGAGGGCGACCGGCCACAUUGGGACUGAGAUACGGCCCAGACUCCUACGGGAGGCAGCGGUGGGGAAUAUUGCACAAUGGGCGGAAGCCUGAUGCAGCAACGCCGCGUGCGGGAUGACGGCCUUCGGGUUGUAAACCGCUUUCAGCAGGGGCGAAGCUUGUGGUGACGGUACCUGCAGAAGAAGCACCGGCUAACUACGUG